AUUGAACGCUGGCGGCGUGCCUAAUACAUGCAAGUCGAGCGAAGCGGCGGAUGGGUGAGUAACGCGUGGGUAACCUGCCCUUAAGUCUGGGAUACCAUUUGGAAACAGAUGCUAAUACCGGAUAAUAACGGAUGGACCUGCGAUGCAUUAGCUAGUUGGUAAGGUAACGGCUUACCAAGGCGAUGAUGCAAAGCCGAGUGGAGGGACUGUUCGGCCACAUUGGGUCUGAGACACGGCCCAAACUCCUACGUGAGGCAGCAGUAGGGAAUCUUCCGCAAGGGACGAAAGUCGGAUGGAGCAACGCCGCGUGAGUGAAGAAGGUUUUCGGAUCGUAAAGCUCUGUUGUCGUUGAAGCGGUAAUCAACCAGAAAGUCACGGCUAACUACGUGCCAGCAGCCGCGGUAAUUC
rnacentral:rRNA from 1 species